rnacentral:lncRNA from 1 species
CAGACACCUCCCAGGAGCUAGCAACAAGGAAAUAAUCUAGUGAUAGAGCUACGGAAGAUUUCAGACUUCAUUUGUAUGGGGAAGCCUGAAGCUGAAUGGAUGGCAGGUUGUUCUUCCAAAGCCAUGUAUCUGCAGUGGAAGACCACACUAAUGAAGAGGACUUGUGUAGCCCUGCCCUCAUAGAGCUUUACAGGGACCAGGCAAGUCAAUGAAAAUGCAGCAAGUAACAGUGUGGAAAUGGCAAAUGUUUUAAAUAUUUC